UACAGAGGUCCCAAGCGUUGUUCGGAUUCACUGGGCGUAAAGGGUGCGUAGGUGGUUAGGUAAGUCCGAUGUGAAAUCUCCAGGCUCAACCUGGAAAUGGCAUUGGAUACUAUCUAGCUUGAGGAGUGGAGGGGGGACUGGAAUUCUCGGUGUAGCAGUGAAAUGCGUAGAUAUCGAGAGGAACACCGGUGGCGAAGGCGGGUCUCUGGGUAGUAACUGACGCUGAGGAACGAAAGCGUGGGUAGCGAACAGG
rnacentral:rRNA from 1 species